rnacentral:rRNA from 1 species
UACGUAGGGGGCAAGCGUUGUCCGGAAUCAUUGGGCGUAAAGCGCGUGUAGGCGGCCCGAUAAGUCCGCUGUGAAAACUUGAGGCUCAACCUCAAGCUGUCGGUGGAAACCACAUGGCUAGAGUCCGGAAGAGGAGAGUGGAAUUCCUGGUGUAGCGGUGAAAUGCGCAGAUAUCAGGAAGAACACCAAUGGCGAAGGCAGCUCUCUGGGACGGUACUGACACUGAGACGCGAAAGCGUGGGGAGCGAACAGG